rnacentral:rRNA from 1 species
UACGGAGGGUGCGAGCGUUGUCCGGAAUCACUGGGCGUAAAGGGCGCGUAGGCGGCUUGGUAAGUAGGAGGUGAAAUCCUGCGGCUUAACCGCAGGGCUGCCUUUGAUACUGUCGAUCUGGAGUAUGGAAGAGGUGAGUGGAAUUCCGAGUGUAGAGGUGAAAUUCGUAGAUAUUCGGAGGAACACCAGUGGCGAAGGCGGCUCACUGGUCCAUUACUGACGCUGAGGUGCGAAAGCGUGGGGAGCAAACAGG